GUGCCAGCCGCCGCGGUAAUACCGGCAGCCCGAGUGAUGACCGAUCUUAUUGGGCCUAAAGCGUCCGUAGCUGGCCGCGCAAGUCCGUCGGGAAAUCCAUCAGCCCAACUGAUGGGCGUCCGGCGGAAACUGCACGGCUUGGGACCGGAAGGCUCGAGAGGUACGUCCGGGGUAGGAGUGAAAUCCCGUAAUCCUGGACGGACCGCCGAUGGCGAAAGCACGUCGCGAGAACGGAUCCGACAGUGAGGGACGAGAGCCAGGGUCUCGAACCGGAUUAGAUACCCGAGUAGUCC
rnacentral:rRNA from 1 species